UACAGAGGUCCCAAGCGUUGUUCGGAUUCAUUGGGCGUAAAGGGUGCGUAGGCGGUCGUGCAAGUCGGAUGUGAAAUCUCAGGGCUCAACCCUGAAACUGCAUUCGAUACUGCGUGGCUAGAGUGCUGGAGAGGAGACUGGAAUUUACGGUGUAGCAGUGAAAUGCGUAGAUAUCGUAAGGAAGACCAGUGGCGAAGGCGAGUCUCUGGACAGCAACUGACGCUGAGGCACGAAGGCCAGGGGAGCAAACGGG
rnacentral:rRNA from 1 species